AGCUAAUACCGCAUAACGUCGCAAGACCAAAGAGGGGGACCUUCGGGCCUCUUGCCAUCGGAUGUGCCCAGAUGGGAUUAGCUAGUAGGUGGGGUAACGGCUCACCUAGGCGACGAUCCCUAGCUGGUCUGAGAGGAUGACCAGCCACACUGGAACUGAGACACGGUCCAGACUCCUACGGGAGGCAGCAGUGGGGAAUAUUGCACAAUGGGCGCAAGCCUGAUGCAGCCAUGCCGCGUGUAUGAAGAAGGCCUUCGGGUUGUAAAGUACUUUCAGCGGGGAGGAAGGGAGUAAAGUUAAUACCUUUGCUCAUUGACGUUACCCGCAGAAGAAGCACCGGCUAACUCCGUGCCAGCAGCCGCGGUAAUACGGAGGGUGCAAGCGUUAAUCGGAAUUACUGGGCGUAAAGCGCACGCAGGCGGUUUGUUAAGUCAGAUGUGAAAUCCCCGGGCUCAACCUGGGAACUGCAUCUGAUACUGGCAAGCUUGAGUCUCGUAGAGGGGGGUAGAAUUCCAGGUGUAGCGGUGAAAUGCGUAGAGAUCUGGAGGAA
rnacentral:rRNA from 1 species